rnacentral:rRNA from 1 species
UACGUAGGGGGCCAGCGUUGCUCGGAAUUACUGGGUGUAAAGGGUUCGUAGGCGGUGCGGCAAGUUGGGAGUGAAAUCUUUGGGCUCAACCCAGAGGCUGCUUUCAAAAACUGCUGUGCUUGAGUGUGGGAGAGGCGCGUGGAAUUGCAGGUGUAGCGGUGAAAUGCGUAGAUAUCUGCAGGAACACCCGUGGCGAAAGCGGCGCGCUGGACCACAACUGACGCUGAGGAACGAAAGCUAGGGGAGCAAACAGG